UAGCUGAUUGGCAAAGCGCUCGGCUUCCAAACCGAGAAGUCCCGGGUUCAAAUCUUGG
rnacentral:tRNA from 1 species